AGGGAUCAUUACCGAGUUAUACAACUCAUCAACCCUGUGAACAUACCUAAAACGUUGCUUCGGCGGGAACAGACGGCCCCGUAACACGGGCCGCCCCCGCCAGAGGACCCCCUAACUCUGUUUCUAUUAUGUUUCUUCUGAGUAAAACAAGCAAAUAAAUUAAAACUUUCAACAACGGAUCUCUUGGCUCUGGCAUCGAUGAAGAACGCAGCGAAAUGCGAUAAGUAAUGUGAAUUGCAGAAUUCAGUGAAUCAUCGAAUCUUUGAACGCACAUUGCGCCCGCCAGUAUUCUGGCGGGCAUGCCUGUUCGAGCGUCAUUACAACCCUCAGGCCCCCGGGCCUGGCGUUGGGGAUCGGCGAGGCGCCCCCUGCGGGCACACGCCGUCCCCCAAAUACAGUGGCGGUCCCGCCGCAGCUUCCAUUGCGUAGUAGCUAACACCUCGCAACUGGAGAGCGGCGCGGCCACGCCGUAAAACACCCAACUUCUGAAUGUUGACCUCGAAUCAGGUAGGAAUACCCGCUGAACUUAA
rnacentral:rRNA from 2 species